rnacentral:rRNA from 1 species
UGCCUGCGGGUGAUCAGCCGGUAUUCUUACCGGUGCACUCACCCGUGGUCAGGCCAGCAUCGGUUUGGGUGGCUGGAUAAAGUCCACUGGAAUGUAGCUCUUCUCGGGGAGUGUUAUAGCCAGAGGUGCCAUGCAGCCCGCCCGGACCGAGGACCGCGCUUCGGCUAGGAUGCUGGCGUAAUGGUUGUAAGCGACCCGUCUUGAAACACGGACCAAGGAGUUUAACAUCUAUGCGAGUGUUUGGGUGUCAAACCCAUGCGCGUAAUGAAAGUGAACGGAGGUGGGAACCCUCAAGGGUGCACCAUCGACCGAUCCUGAUGUCUUCGGAUGGAUUUGAGUAAGAGCAUAGCUGUUGGGACCCGAAAGAUGGUGAACUAUGCCUGAAUAGGGUGAAGCCAGAGGAAACUCUGGUGGAGGUUCGCAGCGGUUCUGACGUGCAAAUCGAUCGUCAAAUUUGGGUAUAGGGGCGAAAGAUUAAUCGAACCAUUUGCUACUAGAUGGUAUACGGGCCUGCGUGCCCCAGUAGUCCCUGCGAGGCGGGGGCGACAUCGUCGGUCUCUUCGGGAACGCCUCUGGGCUACCUGCAGUGAGCCUCGGGCUCAUUCACAGACUAAGUGGCGGUGGCCGUGCCCUGGAGCACGG